rnacentral:tRNA from 1 species
GCCCCCAUAGACUAGUGGUUAGGUCACGUCCCUUUCAAGGACGUAGGACGGGUUCGAAUCCCGUUGGGGGCACCA